GGAAUGUGGCUCAAGUUCGGGAGGCGUUACCUGUGGAGGGUUUGAGGCAGGCCCAGCAGCGAGGCCACGGUCUGCCGACGCGGGGCCAGGGGCGGGCCCCAGGAUCCGGAGCUUAGGGCGGGGCCGAGUCCGGGUUUGGGGACCGGGAGGCGGGGCCGGUUAGGGCGAGGGUCCCUGGGAUCGUCGGGUCAGGCCUUGGGCCAACGUAGGCACUCUCGCAGUUCCUCCGCCUUCAGGAAGGUCUUUUUGGCAGGGGCCCUACGGGUGCGCGCUUCGGUCCUGGAGGCCUUAUCCAAGCCUCCUCUCCAUCAGCGCCACCCGUCUGGGGUCCGAAAGGAGGGAGCUUUCCCUCUGUCCCCCAGCCUUUGGACUGUCACCAAACAAGCCAUUCGUUCACCAAAUACUUAUUAAGCGCCUACCAGGUACCUGACAAGGGAGAUGUAACGGCCAGAGUUCAGCUGAUGCAGGGCAGGGGAGCCCCCAAGUGGAGCCUAGUGUGUCCGGAACUGGUGG
rnacentral:lncRNA from 1 species